rnacentral:rRNA from 1 species
GUGGGGAAUAUUGGACAAUGGGCGCAAGCCUGAUCCAGCCAUGCCGCGUGAGUGAUGAAGGCCUUAGGGUUGUAAAGCUCUUUCACCGAUGAAGAUAAUGACGGUAGUCGGAGAAGAAGCCCCGGCUAACUUCGUGCCAGCAGCCGCGGUAAUACGAAGGGGGCUAGCGUUGUUCGGAUUUACUGGGCGUAAAGCGCGCGUAGGCGGAUUGGUCAGUUAGAGGUGAAAUCCCGAAGCUCAACUUCGGAACUGCCUUUAAUACUGCCAGUCUCGAGUCCGGAAGAGGUGAGUGGAACUCCUAGUGUAGAGGUGGAAUUCGUAGAUAUUAGGAAGAACACCAGUGGCGAAGGCGGCUCACUGGUCCGGUACUGACGCUGAGGUGCGAAAGCGUGGGGAGCAAACAGGAUUAGAAACCCCUGUAGUCC